UUAAAUUGAAGAGUUUGAUCAUGGCUCAGAUUGAACGCUGGCGGCAGGCCUAACACAUGCAAGUCGAGCGGCAGCGGGAAAGUAGCUUGCUACUUUUGCCGGCGAGCGGCGGACGG
rnacentral:rRNA from 1 species